UUGAGAUUCACGACUGACGGGGCAGGACUGCCCUCCCACCCACUCCCGUGCAAGGCUUCCGGGAAUUCCAAACGGAAAACUCUACUGGAGCACAUGGGCAGAUAUGGUUACCAGAUAACACAGCACUGAGGAGCCAUUCAGAUCGGUUCCAGCCGUGGAUGUAAACUUCGUAUUCAAUGUAUUUCAAUAAACUUGCCGCCCCGUCAGGCUGACGUGAACGUACCCAAA
rnacentral:lncRNA from 1 species